AAAAAAAGAAAAGACAACAUUAGACAUACACAAAGGUCUUAACAGAAAACAUACCUGGGAAUCCUCAAUCUGCGUCGCGCCCUGCUAGAAAAAAAAGAAAAGACAACAUUAGACAUACACAAAGGUCUUAACAGAAAACAUACCUGGAAUCCUCAAUCUGCGUCGCGCCCUGCCAGAAAAAAAAAGAAAAGGCAACAUUAGACAUACACAAAGGUCUUAACAGAAAACAUACCUGCGAAUCUCCAAUCUGCGUCGCGCCCUGCUAGAAAAAAAGAAAAGACAACAUUAGACAUACACAAAGGUCUUAACAGAAAACAUACCUGAAAAUCCUCAAUCUGCGUCGCGCCCUGCUAGAAAAAAAAGAAAAGACAACAUUAGACAUACACAAAGGUCUUAACAGAAAAC
rnacentral:lncRNA from 1 species